GUGGCUGUAGCUCAGUUGGUAGAGCGCCCGGUUGUGGUCCGGGAGGUUCGCGGGUUCAAACCCCGUCAGUCACC
rnacentral:tRNA from 1 species